GGCGCGGUUUUGAAAAGAGGUCUGAAGGGUGAAUGUGAGCGAAUAGAGGCCGGUCUAUUUUCCAAGCCAGUUCGCAACGGAUUAGCUUCUCAAUUUUUUUUUUUUUCUUCCUGUGUAUUCUCUGCAGCAUGAGGGACGUGGCCUCACAGUGAUUUCCGUGAGCGUCUCUAAAGAAGGAUCAAGGACGGGUGUGGUGGAGGCGAGGAAGGCGCUCUAAACUGGCUACGCUGAAGAAAGCAUGGAUGUACCUCCGCAAUCCCGAAUAUAACUUGGAAAGAGCGGCGCGAUUUUCCUGGCCGUCUGGUGGUCCUGGCACGUGUGGGUAGCUAUUCAUUGUCAAGACGCUGCUAACUGUUAAUUCGGAAAGAAAAAAAAUCACCGUUUUCCAGCAUUUUUCUUGGAGGAGAACAAAACAAUAGGGAAAAUGUCCAUUUUCCCUAAAAUAUCUUUGAGACUUGAGGUUGAAAAGUAUCUUAAAGAGGGUUUUAUGAAUAAGGAGGUUGUAUCUGCUUUUGGGAAACAAGAAGCAGAAAGGAAAUUUGAAACUCUGUUAAAUCACUUGUCACAUCCUCCAUCAUUCACAACUGUCAGAGUAAAUACACAUCUAGCCUCAGUGCAACAUGUAAAAGAUCUGUUGUUUGAUGAACUUCAGAAGCAGUUUAAUGGAUUAAGUGUUCCUAUUCUUCAACAUCCAGACCUUCAGGAUGUCUUACUUAUUCCUGUUAUUGGACCUAGGAAGAAUAUAAAAAAACAACAUUGUGAAGUAAUUGUUGGAGCACAAUGUGGCAAUGCGGUGUUAAGAGGAGCCCAUGUCUAUGUUCCAGGAAUUGUGUCAGCUUCAAAAUUUAUGAAAGCUGGAGAUGUUAUUUCUGUAUACUCUGAUAUUAAAGGCAAAUGUAAGAAAGGAGCCAAAGAAUUUGAUGGAACAAAAGUAUUUCUUGGAAAUGGGAUUUCUGAACUAAGCCGCAAAGAAAUCUUCAGUGGGCUACCUGAACUGAAAGGUAUAGGCAUAAGAAUGACAGAACCGAUAUAUCUCAGCCCCUCAUUUGACAAUGUGCUGCCCAGCUACUUAUUUUUACAGAAUUUGCCAUCUGUUGUAGUAACUCAUGUUCUGGAUCCUCAACCCGGAGAGAAGAUUCUAGAUAUGUGUGCAGCACCUGGAGGCAAAACAACACACAUUGCAGCAUUAAUGCAUGAUCAGGGAGAAGUAAUAGCACUGGAUAAAAUAUCCAACAAAGUAGAAAAAAUAAAACAGAAUGCUUUAUUGUUAGGACUGAAUUCCAUCAAGGCAUUUUGCUUUGAUGGAACAAAGGCACUUAAACUCAAUACAGUUAAGGAUGCUGAAGGAAAACCUCCAUUCUUACCAGAAUCUUUUGACCGAAUUCUUCUUGAUGCACCAUGCAGUGGGAUGGGACAGAGACCAAACAUGGCUUGUUCUUGGACUUUGAAGGAAGUGACAUCGUAUCAACCGUUACAGAGAAAACUCUUCACUGUGGCAGUUGAGCUGCUGAAGCCGUGGGGCGUGCUGGUUUAUAGCACAUGCACCAUCACGCUGGCAGAAAACGAAGAACAGGUUGCCUGGGCCCUCAGAACAUUUCCUUACCUUCAGCUUCAGCCCCAGGACCCACAUAUUGGAGGAGAAGGAAUGGUGGGAGCUGGCCUCUCACUGGAACAAUUGAAACAGCUGCAGCGAUUUGAUCCAUCUGUUGUGCCAUUACAGGACACUGACAUUGAUUCUCUCAGAGAUGCCAGAAUAGAAGACAUGAUUUGGCUGGCAAAUAAGGAUUGUAUAGGGUUUUUUAUUGCAAAAUUCAUAAAAUGCAAAAGCACAUAGAUCCUUAGAAAUAAAAAUUCCAAACGUUUGCUGUAUGGUUUUCUUUUUUUUUUUUCUUUUACCCAGCUGUUGUCGGGCCUGGUGAUGGAUGGCAUAGUUGCUAAGGAAGCAGAAAAGACUAUCAGCAGUUGGACCAGGGACCAAGAGAUUUGACCAAGAGAUUAGUUCAUGGAGGAAGUAGUUGGGGGUGGUUUCUGUUAGGAAUUUCUCCUGACUGUUGUGUCCAUCAAGAUGGCAAGGUCUUUUAGAUCAGGAGCAAAAACAAGGAGCCAGCGGAUGAAUGCCUUCCUAGUCACCUUUGGCAGCAAGCUUCCUCACAUUCCCUGACUGCUCAAUGGAUUCUCAAAGCAACAUGUAGCACAAUUAAAUACAAAGCCAGGACAUGCGUCCGUGAAACCGGAUGGUGGUGGUGGUUGUAACUUGGAGCACUGUCUCCAUUACUGGACACUAGCAGUUUUACCCACCAUUGCUUUUGCACCCUCAAUGCAAAUGUCAAAACAGUGAAAAAGGAGAAUGAUGUCUUAGUAUUAUUAUGGAAAUAAUUUUGACUUCAUGGACUCUCUAGAAGUUUCUCAGAACCUUCCCCCAGGAAACCACGGACCACACUUUGGGAAUCGCUGUUCUAAGCCAUGAAACUAAUAAUCAUACUUUGCUUGCUUGAAUCUUAAAGACUCUUGACUACCCUGUCUCAUCAAACUCUUUAUGAUGGAUAGAGAUAUAGCU